CUGGAUUUUCUACCAUCCCGUUCUAGCUCACCAUGUCGUGAUGAAGGUAGUCGGCCCUAUUAACAGUGUUACCCUCCAACAAUGUAAAGAUUCACUGGUACCCCAAUAUGACUAUAGUUUCGCACUAGAUACCAUUUUAUGGAUAACACAUUUAGUUUAAGGAAUGGGAAGCUCAUCAAAUAUGGUACCAAUAUUUGAGUUGAGUCCCAUCGCUCUCCAAAUAAUCUAUUCCCUAUCUAAAUCUUUAAAAUAUACGAGUCUACGUUAGAUGACAACCCUGUUAAUGAAUCGUUGCCCCCAUUGUACCUCCUGGCAUAAUUGUGAUAGACUCUUUCUCUAGUUUGAAGGGUAGGGCUACAAACUUAUUGGUAUGUUUUCCAUAUUUUAAGUUAUUUCUUUAUAACAUUUUUCUUAUUCUGUGCAAAAGAAGAUAUGUUCAAUUUGAAAGGCACAAUUACCAUCUCCGGCCCCACCAUCAAAAGACAGAGGAUCCCCAAGAAGACUUUCAGCUCUAGACUUGGAGGCACAUAAGCAGGGAACCAGGGUGCGGUCAUCACUAGCUCAUUCGUGUGAAUGAAAGGCAAGGUGAUUACUCUCGAUGUCCAAACCCCUUAACACACAAAGAAAAGGUCCUCUCAUUAAUACUUAUCUCACUCUGCCUCCAGUUCCUCGAGCUAUCCUCGUCCUAUCCAAGUUUCUAGAUUAUCAUCAGGGCUCGACCUGAGUACUUGUAAAUAAUGUCCAGAGACACAUUGAGAAACUAGCUAAAAGGGAGCUCAAUAUACUCGAGGAAGCUCAUCCCACAGAUAUUUACAACCAUGCAUUCAAGAUGAACUUGACUAUAGGUAUCCUUCGUAUGUCAAUGUGCAGUCAUCACCAGCUUGUAAGGUGGAAAUAAAGGAUGGUCCUCUCGUCAAUACUUAUCCCACACCACCUCUAUUUCGUUGAGUUAUCCUCGAUUUAUCCAAGUUUCCCGAUUAAGAUUAGUGCCCGCUUUGAAUACUUGUAAAUAAUUUCCAUGGACACAUUGAGCCACUAACUGAAAGGGAACUCUAUAGACUCGAGGAAGCUCAUCCCACAAAUAUUUACAACCAGACAUUCAAUGUGAACUUGACUUCUUUCAUGCCUUAGAUCAGGGCCAAAGAUAAAAUGUGAGCUCAGUAGAUGGACGCUGAACACAAAAUAGUUCAACUUGAGGUAGACCUGAAGAGAGCCAUUGAGGUGCUCGACAUGACUUUAGAGAAUGAGAAGAGAGUGUGCUCUUGAAAUUUUUAAUGCUCCGGACGCUUUCAACACUAAACUGAGGUAGAAUCCUUCAAAAAGUCACAUGAGGCAGAGGUUGAGUCCCUCAGGAAGUCAAAUGAGGCUGAGGUGGAAAAAUCGGUUGAAAAAGUAUUCUACCACGUCUGUUCCUUCAACAAAGAAUUUGGUAAUUCUUUCCUCAGAGAUGAGAUUUUUAUCCCUUAUAUGGCCAAGUUCAAAGAGUGUUUUGCUGAGGUGUUCCUGGAGACCAUUGAGAAUGGAGUUUCUAAGGAGUGUGGGGUGGACGAGGUUUCAUCCAAGAAGGCCUAAUCCAGAAUUGAUGUCAUGGUUUUUUAUUUUUUAUUUUACAUAUAUUUAUUAUGGGGCCAAGACAAUUACUUUUACUUUUAACAUGUCCAUGGAGGUCAAGACAACGGAGGUUUUAAUCCUCCUUUAUUUUGUUUAUUUUAGCUCCUGUUAUACAAGUUUCAAUUUAGCUCGUCCCAUAUACUAACUUGUGUUAGCUCGAAUUAUGACAAACUUCUAACAUCCCUUAAAAAACUUUAUUCGCUAUUUUGAGAUGUUAAUAGUCGUUGGUAUUUAGGUUUAUGUAAUUUUCUUUAAGCUUUCUUUUUAUAUUCAGGUUUGAACUUUAAUUUGCUCUAAAUAUCGUGGGAACUAAGUAUCAUUUGAUUUUUUUUUUAUUUUCCUUGCGUUUUAUCAGUUUAGUUUAAUUAGUUAUAAAUGGUAUAGUGGGCUAUCCCCAUAUUUCCCCUCAAGCGAUGAAAUACUUAAGAAUAUUCUAGAUCAAUUAUUUUAGGUUUGAACAAAAUAUAUUUAGAUAAAAUGAUUCCAUGUUUAAACUACA